rnacentral:lncRNA from 12 species
UUCCUGGGACCCCCCGAAGUUUACGUUGCAGACAUGAAGAAAGAAGACAUAGAGUAUAUUAAAAUGCAAAAUCAACCAGCACAUCAGUGACUGUUUUUGGCUAAU